UAGGGAAUCUUCCGCAAUGGACGAAAGUCUGACGGAGCAACGCCGCGUGAGCGAAGAAGGCCUUGGUCGUAAAGCUCUGUUGUUAGGGAAGAAUAAGUGCGAGAGUAACUGCUCGUACCUUGACGGUACCUAGCCAGAAAGCCACGGCUAACUACGUGCCAGCAGCCGCGGUAAUACGUAGGUGGCAAGCGUUGUCCGGAAUUAUUGGGCGUAAAGCGCGCGCAGGCGGUCCUUUAAGUCUGAUGUGAAAGCCCACGGCUCAACCGUGGAGGGUCAUUGGAAACUGGGGGACUUGAGUGCAGAAGAGAAGAGUGGAAUUCCACGUGUAGCGGUGAAAUGCGUAGAGAUGUGGAGGAACACCAGUGGCGAAGGCGACUCUUUGGUCUGUAACUGACGCUGAGGCGCGAAAGCGUGGGGAGCAAACAGGAUUAGAUACCCUGGUAGUCCACGCCGUAAACGAUGAGUGCUAAGUGUUAGAGGGUUACCGCCCUUUAGUG
rnacentral:rRNA from 1 species